GUGGGCGUAGCUCAGUUGGUAGAGCUCCGGAUUGUGGAUCCGGCGGUCGUGGGUUCGAAACCCAUCGUCCACCCCA
rnacentral:tRNA from 1 species